rnacentral:rRNA from 1 species
UACGUAGGGUGCGAGCGUUGUCCGGAAUUAUUGGGCGUAAAGGGCUCGUAGGCGGUUUGUCGCGUCGGGAGUGAAAUCCACUGGCUUAACUGGUGGCUUGCUUUCGAUACGGGCAGACUGGAGGCAUGCAGGGGAGAACGGAAUUCCUGGUGUAGCGGUGAAAUGCGUAGAUACCCGGAGGAACACCGGUGGCGAAGGCGGCUUCCUGGACCGACACUGACGCUGAGGCGCGAAAGCUAGGGGAGCAAACGGG